rnacentral:lncRNA from 1 species
ACGAUGGUUGCCAUAACCCUUGAGUCUGAGGUAGAAAACAAACACAUGAAAAGUAACAAUAUAAAGGAUACAGAAGAUACGAAGAAGACGAAAAGUGAAACAGAUCCGAAGCUGCCACUCGUUACAAGUCAGGGUCCCAAGCAGCCUGAGUUAGGAGAGAAGCUGCUGGGUGAUUCUGGCGAGUCGUCUCUGCCCAGCAAAAAGACUUACAGGCCAUUAUUUGAAUGGGCCGGUGCAGAGAGAAGAAUGUCAAGCUCCAGAACAAAGUCAGAUGUCACCAUAGCGCACCAGCCAAUCCAGGGAUCGUCUCUGUCUGAGCAGAAUACAACUGCAACUGCUGGAUUCCCAGGACAUCCUGCCAGCACAAUAAUACCCAAGCCCCUCAAAAGCAAACACGACAAUGUCCCCUUGGUGAUUAUGAGGGCGUCAGACCUGUUGAAUGCCUCCAGUGUCUGUGGGACCGCACCUUCCCUGAGGAGAAAGCAGCAGGGACUCUGGGAAGCAAUGCAGGAGACCUGCAGAGAGAGAAGAGCAGCAGAUAUGGAUGGCAGAGCUCCUCCGCCAAGCUGUUCUUUUCCAGCCUCCAGCACAGGCAGCAAACUGUCAUGGCAAACCACUGCAGAGUGUAGCAGAGCUCCUACCUUAGCUGCAGGUCCUAGUUCAGAGUCCGACUGGGAACUCUCCUGCUCCCAGGAGAGGGACGACCAACAGGAAUCAUUCAGGGCGCAGAUCUCCAAAAUCGAACAGUUCCUCGAGACAGAGAGGCUCCGUCUGCCCAAAAGACGACGAACUGAACCAAAUCUGUAGAAACUGCUGGUCGUCUUUAUUUGCUGUCCUAGGUGAGACAUUGUGUGGCACACGUUUGACAGUUAUUGUUAGCGCAGGUUUAAAUGUUCUGAAACACGAUUGCUUUUUAAUAUAUACAUGUGUUACUGAUUCCUUUGAACUGUAUAGUUUCUUCUAACAUUGCUGUUUGAAGUUUAAAGUUUUUGGGUUAAAUCAUUAACUCUUCACUUUAUUAUUUUAACAUUUCUGUGCUUUAAAUGGAAAACGGCAGAGUUUGUGUGUUUGUUUCACACGUGCGUAUUUGUAUGUUUUUAAGUGAAGAGAUGAAAAUAAGAUAAGAUAGCCUUUCUAAGUGAUAAAUAUACAAUACUACUACUGCUAUGUUGGAAGGAUUUUAUUUUAUCACACAGUUGCAUGUGAUUAAAGUAAUUUUAUAAAGGCUCCAAUAUCACCAAUGUAAAAAUCCAACAUUUCCAUUCUCUUGUCAUUUAAUUAAAUUACAGGGUUAUGAGUUGUUUUCAAAAUAUUGUAUGUAAAGACUUAGAUAGGAUGCACUACAAGCUUCUGCAGCCUCACUGACACAACACUGACUCAUCAAACCACACAAACAGGACAUCAGUAUGUGUUGCAUUUCUUUUACUGGAAACAUUAUUCACAGUAAAUCAUGCAUUUCAUAGCAAACAGCUGGAUAAGUAAGGACCAAGAGCGCUGUUGCCCAUUAAAAAGGCUGGGAACAUGCUAAUUAACAUUAAUUAACAUCAUAGCCAAUCAGUGUGGCAUGUCUCAGAGGAGCUCUAAUUGUGGAGGCACCUUUGGUCUACACCAUGUUGUUUCUGCUGCUGCUGUUGUUGGAGGCAAUUACAACUCGGGACACUCUGGUUCGACUGUGUUUACACCUAUUAAAUUAAGGGAAAUAACAGUUCAGAUAACAAUUAGCACUAAAUACCCCAACCCUAAUUAACCAAAAAUCAAUUAGUGAACAUACAGUCCAAUUAACACGUUCUAACAAGCCUCUCGUUAACUUUAUGUUCCCUGUGAGGAUGAUGGCGGAAAGAGCAUAUGGCCCCACAAGAGCAUGAAGCAGCUGACCACACAUGUUUGGAUUCUCAUUAGUCUGGUUGCUGCUUAUGUACUGUAGACGUGUGGCAUUUGGCUUCAGCUCACUCGCCUCAGGUUAGUUUAAGUGGGUUUGAGAGUGUUGGACAAAGAGGUUUUUGUAGUAUAUAGACUGUCUAGAUGCAAAUUUCUAUUAGCAAACGGAUCUAUUAAUACAUCUGACUGACAUCAGUGCAGUUUGUAGCCCUAAUUUUCAGCAGUCACAGAGGUACACGAUGCUUUUUUACAGUAUCACCUUCAGAAGACGGGAUAAUUUCAAAAUUAUAAUGUGCUGUUACGCAUUUUUGACUUGGUGAUAAUGUGAAGACAUAAAAAUAUAUAUUCACUUUUUUAAAAUUAUUUUGUUAUUACUUCACUUUUUGGUAGGUCACCAUAUUGAUGCUAAAAAUUAUAUAUAUCAUAAUAUAUUUUUAUAUAGCACAACAACAUAGUUUGUAAAUAUAAUGCAAACAUAAUACAUAAAUCUAAUACCCAUCCAUCAAUUUUUCAGCACUCAUGUAGGGCCAGGUCACUGGGGCGACGGUCUAAGCGGAGAAGCCCAGACCUCAUUAUCUCAACUGCAUAAACAGAAUAACGCAAAGUUCAGUGUUGCAAUGCUUCCUGUUUAACUUCUUACCUGUGCCUGAAAUGCAGCGAGUCAACAGAAUUGUAUGACACUGCCUGAGAGCAUCAGUCAUAUAUGGCUAAUUGUUUUGUACCAACAGCGCUAAGGGUCAUAACAUAGAUUCUGUCAUUCACCAGCUGUAAAUCCGAUACACGGGACUUUGAAGUACGUAAAGAUAUAGUUUUGCUUUCAUUACUGUCCUUUGACACUAUACUGUGAAACAUAGGUUAGCAAAAGUUAACCAUUUGGCUGUGGUAGUUGACCCUUAUGACAACCCCACGCCCCACGCCUCAGAGCAUGCCUACCAACAGAUCCACAGCAGACCUUGUUGACGUUAUAAGAAAAGACUCGAGUUUUCACCAAAUUUCUGCUCGCACGCUAAAAUUAACAGCUAACAUUUCAAUGGUGGUAAAAUGGCUCAGCUUGAUCCAUCUUACUACACUUACUGAUAAUGAAUACGCGUGAACCUUAAUGCACUCAUAAAGAAACCUGGAGCAUUUGAGUGGCUGUGCCCACCACUGCUGACCCUUAUCCAUAUUGGGAGGAAGGGAGAGGAUGGGAGGAGAGGUGGGGGAGGUAUGGAAUAUAAAAGAGUUAAUUUUAAUGCACUUGUGCUCGCAAAAACUCAUACACGAUCUAUAUUUCUCACUCAUACAGUUUUGCCUCUCCUCUUUUACAUAAGCAUGCACAUGGCCACAUACACACAUACAGUCUCUGUUAUGAAGUGUUGGCACUUUGAAACAGUCAAUUACCCUCUGGCUAGGGAGGAUACCUGCUGUUAAUUACUGCUCAGUGUUUUAUAUGGAGCGUAAAUAAAGAGACCGCUGACAUUCACAUUCCAUCAAUGCAUCCCCCAGCUCACACUGUAUUGUGUGUGUGUGUUAUUUGAUUUUAAAAUAACCCUUGUGAGGUAGGAACCAUGGGGAAAAAAGCAUUUUGGAAAGAACGGGUACAAAUCCUCCAACCUGACCAAAAAGAUAUGCUGUUUCCCCGUGAAUUUGCCUUAUAAUAGUAAAUCCUGAAAUAGUACCCCUGCACAGAUAUGCAGUAUAAUAUAUGCAGUUAUGUCUAUGAAGGUUCUCAGUCAUCCAGGUCAUCGUAGUCAAAGGAGCUUGGAAAGAAAAGCGUCUGGACUUCUUUAAGUUGCUUGAAGACGUUUCACCUCUCAUCCGAGAAGCUUCUUCAGUUCUAGGGUCAAAUGGUGGAGUUAAGAUUUUGGUUUAUAGUAAUGUUGAGCUGGGGUUGGCA